GAUGAACGCUAGCUACAGGCUUAACACAUGCAAGUCGAGGGGCAUCAGGGUGUAGCAAUACACCGCUGGCGACCGGCGCACGGGUGAGUAACACGUAUCCAACCUGCCCUUUACUCGGGGAUAGCCUUUCGAAAGAAAGAUUAAUACCCGAUGGUAUAACAUGACCUCCUGGUUUUGUUAUUAAAGAAUUUCGGUAGAGGAUGGGGAUGCGUUCCAUUAGGCAGUUGGCGGGGUAACGGCCCACCAAACCUUCGAUGGAUAGGGGUUCUGAGAGGAAGGUCCCCCACAUUGGAACUGAGACACGGUCCAAACUCCUACGGGAGGCAGCAGUGAGGAAUAUUGGUCAAUGGGCGAGAGCCUGAACCAGCCAAGUAGCGUGAAGGAUGACCGCCCUAUGGGUUGUAAACUUCUUUUAUAUGGGAAUAAAGGGUGCCACGUGUGGCAUUUUGUAUGUACCAUAUGAAUAAGGAUCGGCUAACUCCGUGCCAGCAGCCGCGGUAAUACGGAGGAUCCGAGCGUUAUCCGGAUUUAUUGGGUUUAAAGGGAGCGUAGGUGGACAUGUAAGUCAGUUGUGAAAGUUUGCGGCUCAACCGUAAAAUUGCAGUUGAUACUGCGUGUCUUGAGUACAGUAGAGGUGGGCGGAAUUCGUGGUGUAGCGGUGAAAUGCUCAGAUAUCACGAAGAACUCCGAUUGCGAAGGCAGCUCACUGGACUGCAACUGACACUGAUGCUCGAAAGUGUGGGUAUCAAACAGGAUUAGAUACCCUGGUAGUCCACACAGUAAACGAUGAAUACUCGCUGUUUGCGAUAUACAGUAAGCGGCCAAGCGAAAGCAUUAAGUAUUCCACCUGGGGAGUACGCCGGCAACGGUGAAACUCAAAGGAAUUGACGGGGGCCCGCACAAGCGGAGGAACAUGUGGUUUAAUUCGAUGAUACGCGAGGAACCUUACCCGGGCUUAAAUUGCAAAUGAAUAUGCCGGAAACGGCAUAGCCGCAAGGCAUUUGUGAAGGUGCUGCAUGGUUGUCGUCAGCUCGUGCCGUGAGGUGUCGGCUUAAGUGCCAUAACGAGCGCAACCCUUAUCUUCAGUUACUAACAGGUCAUGCUGAGGACUCUGGAGAGACUGCCGUCGUAAGAUGUGAGGAAGGUGGGGAUGACGUCAAAUCAGCACGGCCCUUACGUCCGGGGCUACACACGUGUUACAAUGGGGGGUACAGAAGGCCGCUACACAGCGAUGUGAUGCCAAUCCCUAAAGCCCCUCUCAGUUCGGAUCGAAGUCUGCAACCCGACUUCGUGAAGCUGGAUUCGCUAGUAAUCGCGCAUCAGCCACGGCGCGGUGAAUACGUUCCCGGGCCUUGUACACACCGCCCGUCAAGCCAUGGGAGCCGGGGGUACCUGAAGUACGUAACCGCAAGGAGCGUCCUAGGGUA
rnacentral:rRNA from 1 species